rnacentral:piRNA from 1 species
UACCUAGUCCUGUGAGUUUGAUGACUGAU